GGGGUUGUGGCUUAAGUGGUAGAGCGCUCGCCUGGCAUGCGUGCGGCCUGGGUUCGAUCCUCAGCACCA
rnacentral:tRNA from 1 species